AGAGAGAGACAUGCGCGCAUAUCAAUAAGCGGAGGAAAAGAAACUAACAAGGAUUCCCUUAGUAACGGCGAGUGAAGCGGGAAGAGCUCAAAUUUGAAAUCUUCAAGGUUUUACCUUGACGAAUUGUAGUUUAAAGAAGUGUUUUCUGCUGAAGUUUUGGUAAAAGUUCUUUGGAAUAGGACAUCAUAGAGGGUGAGAAUCCCGUAUUUGACCAUUAUUUUCAGCUUUGUGAUACACUUUCAAAGAGUCGGAUUGUUUGGGGAAUGCAGUCCAAAAUGGGUGAUAAAUUUCAUCUAAAGCUAAAUAUUGGCGAGAGACCGAUAGCGAACAAGUACCGAUGAGGGAAAGAUGAAAAGAACUUUGAAAGAGAGAGUUAAACAGUACGUGAAAUUGUCAAAAGGGAAGCGUUUGACACCAGUGUUGUUUUCUCGAAAAUCAAUUAAAAAUGGCUCGAUUUUGUAUUGCUUGAGACCUUAAAAGCUCACUGUACAUUUUUCGUGUCUUUUUUAAUGCACUUUUCGUUUAACAAGUCAACAUCAGUUUCUUUUGUUGUAAAAGGGUCAUUGGAAGGUGGCUUUCUUCUCGGAGAAAGUGUUUAUAGCCUUUGGCCUCUGCAAUCGGAGAGACUGAGGUCUGCAGCGUAGACUCUUCGGGGUUAGAUCACAUUUGUGCUAAGUUAUAGCUUUUUAUAGACAACUUGUUGACUAUAAUUAGUCUUGUAGCUUACUCGCUUAUGCUAUUUUACCUACGCUUAGGAUGUUGAAGAUGUAGCACAUCAU
rnacentral:rRNA from 1 species